rnacentral:ncRNA from 1 species
AAAAGUCUGAUUUUUGCUUGGGUUUCUAUUAUUAUAGUUAGAGAGUAAAUGUAAAUUUUUGUAGAAAAAUAUACGGAGAAAUUAAAUAUUUCUGUGAAAAAUCUUAGGCAAAGGCUUUAAAGGAUUAGGUCGCAGUACAAAAUAUUAAAAUAUUGAGAGAGAGCUUGAUUUGGUAAAUUGUGAGAAGUCUGAUUAAAUUUUGUGCCAGCAGUCGCGGUUAGACUUAAAGAUAAGAUAGAAAGUUGUGGGUAUAAAGUUAUUUUGAUUUAUAAUUUAUUUUUUAGUCUGUAGUAAUAAAGGGUGAAAUUAAUUGUUGUGGUGAGAUUAAAGUGGAUUUUGAAGUAUAAGGAAGCUUAAAAAGUUGAGGUAUAAACUGGGAUUAGAUACCCUAUUAUACUCAAGAUAAAUUAAAGAAGACCUGAGUAUUAAUAGAUGUAUUCUUAAAAUUCAAAGGAUUUGGCGGUAUUUUAGUCUAGUUAGAGGAACCUGUUUCAUAAAUGAUGCUACACGUAAUAUCUUACUAGCUUUUGUUUGAAGUUUGUAUACCUCCAUUAUCAGAUAACUUUUAUAGAAAUAGUUAUUGAAAGUAAAUUUUUUAAAUAUAUUAGGUCAAGGUGCAGCUUAUAAGAAUAGGGAAAAUGGGUUACAAUAAAAUUUAUUUAAACGGAUUAAUAGAGGAAGGAAGCUGUCAUGAAGGAGGAUUUAAUUGUAAUAGAUUUUUAAUAAGAUUUGAUGAGACGAGAACUAAAUUAUGUACAUAUUGCCCGUCGCUUUCAUUUAAGGUGGAAUAAGUCGUAACAUAGUAAGUGUACUGGAAAGUGCUCUUAGAAGUAUU